UAUGAGCGAGAGCUACAGCGGUUCCUACCACCGUGCCCUCCUCUUCCCUUACGGCGAUGCCAGCAUUGGAAGCCUGUUUCAAGGGCGUUCAAACAAAGAAAAAGAAGAAAUCAAGACCACUGGAUCUCUAUUGACAGGCGGUUUCUCCUUAAUUGAUUACCGAUGGCUGGCAUUUGGGAGACAGCGGUGGCUAUCGAUUGGCCAAUUUUCAAACGAUCGCCAACCGAAUUUUGAGGUGGAAGAGGCACCGGCUUGGCCCUUUUUGUCGCCACCCAACU
rnacentral:lncRNA from 1 species